rnacentral:rRNA from 1 species
GGGGGGCCGAAACACAUGCAAGUCGAACGGUAGCACAGAGGAGCUUGCUCCUUGGGUGACGAGUGGCGGACGGGUGAGUAAUGUCUGGGAAACUGCCCGAUGGAGGGGGAUAACUACUGGAAACGGUAGCUAAUACCGCAUAACGUCGCAAGACCAAAGAGGGGGACCUUCGGGCCUCUUGCCAUCGGAUGUGCCCAGAUGGGAUUAGCUAGUAGGUGGGGUAACGGCUCACCUAGGCGACGAUCCCUAGCUGGUCUGAGAGGAUGACCAGCCACACUGGAACUGAGACACGGUCCAGACUCCUACGGGAGGCAGCAGUGGGGAAUAUUGCACAAUGGGCGCAAGCCUGAUGCAGCCAUGCCGCGUGUAUGAAGAAGGCCUUCGGGUUGUAAAGUACUUUCAGCGAGGAGGAAGGUGUUGUGGUUAAUAACCGCAGCAAUUGACGUUACUCGCAGAAGAAAGCACCGGCUAACUCCGUGCCAGCAGCCGCGGUAAUACGGGAGGGUGCAAGCGUUAAUCGGAAUUACUGGGCGUAAAGCGCACGCAGCGGUCUGUCAAGUCGGAUGUGAAAUCCCCGGGCUCAACCUGGGAACUGCAUCCGAAACUGGCAGGCUAGAGUCUUGU